UACGUAGGGUGCAAGCGUUGUCCGGAAUUAUUGGGCGUAAAGCGCGCGUAGGCGGCCCGGUAAGUCCGCUGUAAAAGUCAAAGGCUCAACCUUUGAAUGUCAGUGGAUACUGCCGGGCUAGAGUCCGGAAGAGGCGAGUGGAACUCCUGGUGUAGCGGUGGAAUGCGCAGAUAUCAGGAAGAACACCGACGGCGAAGGCAGCUCGCUGGGACGGUACUGACGCUGAGGCGCGAAAGCGUGGGGAGCGAACAGG
rnacentral:rRNA from 1 species